UAGAAGUACUGGUCCACGGUCUUGAGCCAGCCCACGUCGUCGUGCGUGUGCGGAACCAGGUGGACGUUCAGCAUGGACGCCUUUGUAGCGUGACAGGACUGCAAACAAACAAAUGAACUUCCUCCAGGCGGCUGCGAAGUCUCCCCAGGGCCCCCCUGGCCCCACUGAAGGCCUCGGCGGAGGGGCCAGACGUCGGCGAGGGCCGGGCGGCGGUCGCCACGGGAAGGCACAGCAGCGGCGCCACCUGCUGGGGAGAGAGAGAGCGACACUCAAACAGCCGAGGGAUAAGGUGCCAUUUCUCGCGACGACAUCACCUGCAGAAAUUGCUCGCUGUCCUGGGUCUGAAAAAGUUGUUCGAUCUCCCGAUCUCGCCGGCGCAGUUCCUCCAGAUCUUUCUCCA